rnacentral:rRNA from 1 species
UAAUUGUCUCAAUUUUAUCCAAAUGAACUUUAUUUCUUUAUCAAAAAGUUAAGAUUUAUUUAAAGGACGAGAAGACCCUAUAAAUCUUAACUUUUUGAUAAAGAAAUAAAGAGUUUAGUUGGGGCGACUGAUGAAAAAAAUAACUUCAUCAAAACAAAAUUUUUAUAAAAAUUUUGUUUUGAUCAUUACAAAAAAAUUAAUAAAACAAGUUACUUUAGGGAUAACAGCAUAAUUUUUUUUAAGAGUUCUUAUCAACAAAAAAGUUUGUGACCUCGAUGUUGGAUUAAAUUCCAUUUAAGAUGCAAAAAUCUUAUUUUCAUAGUCUGUUCGACUAAUAAAAUUUACACGAUUUGAGUUCAGACCGGAGAUCAUUAGUUUACUAAUUGUAAAAUAGUAUGAAAGAAUAAAUAAGAAUUUAAUUGUCUCAAUUUUAUCCAAAUGAACUUUAUUUCUUUAUCAAAAAGUUAAGAUUUAUUUAAAGGACGAGAAGACCCUAUAAAUCUUAACUUUUUGAUAAAGAAAUAAAGAGUUUAGUUGGGGCGACUGAUGAAAAAAAUAACUUC